AAUUAAUCUAAUUAAUUAACAUGUAUUAACCCUACACAAGGAUCUAAAUAUAAUAUAUAUAGCAUGCAUUUAAAUUUGAAAUUUUGAAUUCCACAGUAAAUAUUUUACUGUAUGUGUUCAGAACAUGUUACCUUCGUGCAGUUAGUCGAUUGUUGCAGUCUAAUCACCGUCGGAAAGAUUUGAUCAUUGCAAUAUAGCCACAC
rnacentral:lncRNA from 1 species